UCUACAUGUAAACAUGGGUACCACUUGCAU
rnacentral:piRNA from 1 species